CAGCUCGUAGAAGGAGACAGCGCUGACAAGGAUGGUGUUUGCCUUGUCCUCAAUCAGCGAUC
rnacentral:sRNA from 1 species